rnacentral:lncRNA from 1 species
ACCACUUUCACCUAAAAAUUCAGUGUGUUCCAUACUUCAUCUUUUUUUAUUUUAAAGAAAAAAAAAUGAACUAGCUGAAGGGCUUCUCCAAAAGACACGAAGUUAACCUCACACACACCACCAGCCUCCUCCUGCCAGCACUCCCAAUGGGUUCCAGCCUGCUGCCCUCUUCAGCUGGGCUCCUCACCAGUCAUGGGGCCCGCUGAGGCCAUCACAGUGCUGGCAGGGAGGGCUUCCCUCAGAAGGAACAUCCUGGUCCUUACACCUGCUCACAGCACUCAUCCCAGGGAUCUGGGCUGCCAGACCUCAUGCAUAUUGGGUGAGGCAUGCCACAGGCUGACAGUUGGAGCAGGUGAAAGGCAGUCUCCACAGCAACUGCCAUGGUCACCCUAUCCUCUGCUGCUUCCCUCAGCACCCACCUCAGGGUGAUCUCCACCGCUGUGAGGCAGGACCAUGCCUGUUCCUGCCCCCAGUCCCAGCAGCCAUCAGCAACUGUGUACCUACGACUGGACUUUUCUAUGGGAAGAGCAACCCUGAACUACCACAGCAAGGGGCCUCACUCAGCAGGAGCUGGGGAACAUGCAGCAGACACAUCAGAAACAAAAAUUUGGUGCUGAGAUUCCGUGUCAGUAAGACCUCACGGAUUUGCUCUCAAACUAUGGUCAAAUUUCACUACUUUGCCAUUCUUCAAGUGGAAAGGCCCACAGAAGGUUUGGAAACUGAGAUAAACUCCCACAGAAGAAUAAAAAGGUAUUCAUUCUCCUAUGAAGCCUGCAGUCUGCCUGUAGAUAGAAGAAAGCAACUCCUGCCAGGCUGCUUGUUUCCUGGCUAGAUGCUGGACAGAAAAUGAAGAAAAUUUCAGUGCUCCUUCUUCUGCACCACUGCACCAUUUAGCACAGUGAAUUCCUCCACCAAAUAAAGGGUGAACAAGACUGAAGUGUGACUUUCUG